rnacentral:rRNA from 1 species
UGGGGGAAUAUUGCACAAUGGGCGCAAGCCUGAUGCAGCAACGCCGCGUGAGGGACGACGGCCUUCGGGUUGUAAACCUCUUUUAGUAGGGAAGAAGCGAAAGUGACGGUACCUGCAGAAAAAGCACCGGCUAACUACGUGCCAGCAGCCGCGGUAAUACGUAGGGUGCGAGCGUUGUCCGGAAUUAUUGGGCGUAAAGAGCUCGUAGGCGGNCUGUCGCGUCUGCUGUGAAAACCCCGAGGCUCAACCUCGGGCCUGCAGUGGGUACGGGCAGACUAGAGUGCGGUAGGGGAGAAUGGAUUCCUGGUGUAGCGGUGGAAUGCGCAGAUAUCAGGAGGAACACCGAUGGCGAAGGCAGUUCUCUGGGCCGUAACUGACGCUGAGGAGCGAAAGCGUGGGGAGCGAACAGGAUUAGAUACCCUGGUAGUCCACGCCGUAAACGUUGGGCGCUAGAUGUGGGG